rfam:Chitinophaga eiseniae strain DSM 22224 genome assembly, contig: Ga0070509_102
CAGGCGGAUACCGAAAAGCCUGAAAAGAGUAGGUA